AACGAACGCUGGCGGCAUGCCUAACACAUGCAAGUCGAACGAGACCUUCGGGUCUAGUGGCGCACGGGUGCGUAACGCGUGGGAACCUGCCCUUAGGUUCGGAAUACCUCCCCGAAAGGGGUGCUAAUACCGGAUAAUCUCUUCGGACCAAAGAUUUAUCGCCUUUGGAUGGGCCCGCGUUGGAUUCGCUGGUUGGUAGGGUAAUAGCCUACCAAGGCGACGAUCCAUAGCUGGUCUGAGAGGAUGAUCAGCUACACUGGGACUGAGACACGGCCCAGACUGCGACGGAAGGGAGCAGUGGGGAAUAUUGUACGAGGGGCGAAAGCGUGAUACAGCAAUGCCGGGUGAGUGAGGAAGGCCUUAGGGUUGUAAAGCUCUUUUACCCGGGAUGAUAAUGACAGUACCGGGAGAAUAAGCUCCGGCUAACUCCGUG
rnacentral:rRNA from 1 species